UACGAAGGGGGCUAGCGUUGCUCGGAAUCACUGGGCGUAAAGGGUGCGUAGGCGGGACUUUAAGUCAGGGGUGAAAUCCUGGAGCUCAACUCCAGAACUGCCUUUGAUACUGAGGAUCUUGAGUUCGGGAGAGGUGAGUGGAACUGCGAGUGUAGAGGUGAAAUUCGUAGGUAUUCGCAAGAACACCAGUGGCGAAGGCGGCUCACUGGCCCGAUACUGACGCUGAGGCACGAAAGCGUGGGGAGCAAACAGG
rnacentral:rRNA from 1 species